CAGUAGCCGCGGUAAUACCGGCAGCACGAGUGAUGACCGCUAUUAUUGGGCCUAAAGCGUCCGUAGCUGGCCACGCAAGUCCGUCGGGAAAUCCGCGCGCUUAACGCGCGGGCGUCCGGUGGAAACUGUGUGGCUUGGGACCGGAAGAUCCAGAGGGUACGUCCGGGGUAGGAGUGAAAUCCCAUAAUCCUGGACGGACCACCGGUGGCGAAAGCGCUCUGGAAAGACGGAUCCGACGGUGAGGGACGAAAGCUCGGGUCACGAACCGGAUUAGAUACCCCCGUAGUCCCUGUCUCUUAUA
rnacentral:rRNA from 1 species